GGGAAUCCGAAUCCCAUAGGUAUCUAAGUUCCCUCUCUUCCAACACCAGGGUCAGCAUUCAAGGAUUCGACAGCGGAAAAGCAGAAGGGACCCACUGCCUCUCUCUCAAGCUCCCAGGCUCUGUGGUAGGCAAGGUCACUGGUGCGGUUCAACAGCGGGUCGCUGAUUCUAGACAGGGUGGCCACCCAGGAGGACAGGACACUGCAGGGCAGGACAGGUGAGGAAGGCUGCCUGGAGGUAGGGAACUGUUAGGAUUUAGAUUGGGGGGCAGGUGAGAGGGGCGCUUACACAACCGCAUGACGUACUUUCAUGGGACCGUCAUUCCUAGCACUAUACCACAGAGCCUUCCAGAACGGAGGUAGCCAGGAAAUGCCCAGCUCAGAAGAUGUGUGUAGUGAUAUUUUGUUUGUGUUUUAACAAAUAAAUCUUGCCUGAAGAUCAGAGUGCCAAGCUAAGCCACUUGUGGUGGUGGCACACACCUUUAAUCCCAGGACUCACAGAGGCAGAGGGAUCUCUGUGAAUUCAAGGUCACCCUGGGCUACAGGAAACUGACCCAGUCUAAAAGAGAAACAGAGCUCACGUAAAGAUGAUCCCAGCACUUGGGAUCCCCUGCCUUUAAUCCCAGCACUAGGGAGGUGGAGGCCAGAAUGAUAUGGCUGGGGGCUGGGUGAAGAGGAAUGUAAGGCAGUGAGGGGACAGGAGCUGAGUGCAAUCUGAAGCAGUCAGUCCGAGGACAGGGUCGCCCCUUUGGUCUGAGCAUUGGCAGAGGUAAGAACUCUAGUAACUGGCUGCUCUGCUUCUCUGACCCUUCAGCUUUCACCCUGAUAGCUGACUCCAAAUUUUUAUUAUUAAGACCAAUUAGAAUUUAGCCAGGCAGUGGUGGCACAUGCCUUUAAUCCCAGCACUUGGGAGGCAGAGGCAGGCGGAGCACUGAGUUAGAAGCCAGCCUGGUCUACAGAGCAAGUUCCAGGACAGGCGUACCUACACUGAGAAACCCUGUGUUGAAAAAAAUCAAAAAAAUAAAAAUAAAUUAGAAUUUAUGCUAUAGAAGAGGAAAAGUCUAUUUUGGAAGGUGGGGGAAGCUAUUCUCCAUGAGGAAAGUGGUUACUUGUACAUUUGUUUUAAAAAUUAUUAAUUAUGUGUUGUGUGUAUGUUGUCUGUGUGCCGGAGUAUUUGUGCUCACAGAGGGUGGUUUUGAGCUGCCUGACAUGGAUCCUGGAACCUGAACUUUGGUCCUCUGCAAGAGCAGGACUAUCUUCCCCCACCCCUGUACAUAUGCUGAUCACAGCCUUGGUGCUUGAUGACGAAGCUGGAGAUGACAGGUAUCAGGGACAGGACUUAGGCCCUCAGAGCACGACUGCCCGGAAGCUUCCCAAUAACAUGGGCCCCUGAGGAUCGCUCUACCAUGGAGAAGCUGAAGUUCAGAGAAGUCAAUAUACCUAUUCAUGGAAGAACAGCAACAGCAGAUCUGGGUUUGGAACUCAGACCCCUCAGCCCUGGAGCCCUAAAUCUUCACUUUCUGGGUGCAGGAGCUGAGACCUGGAACUGCCUCCACUGAAACAAACACGGACUUGGGUGACUGGAGCCAAGCUCCUACCCACUUCCUGGUGGGUGUUAUCUCAUUCCCCUGAGGAACGUUUUGUAUGUUGAGAAGAAUGGAGUUGGUUUAGCUUUGGGCAAUGGCGGUCCCAGCCUUGAACCCUUCCUCCGUGGGGGUCAGGGUUGGUAGCUCUCUGAGGAGCAGUUUUACCACGGGGUAGAGCUGAGUGUAUCCUUGCCAAACAGAUGCAUGAAUGAACAAACAGCAAACAGGAAAGUUGCCGGGACAAGUCGGCCACCUGGGAGCUCGACAAGGAAGCCAGAGGUUUCUCUUAAGGAAGACAUCCUGAUUCCCGAGGCACAGCACCUGCCCAGACUCGCAGUCGCCAUGUGGCUUCCAGGUAAACACACUUCAGUCCCGAUAUCGCUUCUCUGCGUAGCUGUCGAGCCUGUCUACCUUGCUCACCUACGAGAGCCCCAUCAAUGGCUCCCUCCACCGGGUGGC